rnacentral:tRNA from 1 species
UGGUUGCGGGGACAGGAUUUGAACCUGCGACCUUCGGGUUAUGAGCCCGACGAGCUACCGAACUGCUCCACCCCGCG